rnacentral:rRNA from 1 species
AGUUGAUCAUGGCACAGAACGAACGCUGGCGGCGCGUCUUAAGCAUGCAAGUCGAACGGCAAGAGGUAGCAAUACCUCCUAGAGUGGCGGACUGGUGAGUAACACGUGGGUGACAUACCCUUCAGAUGGGGAUAGCUAUUAGAAAUAGUAGAUAAUACCGAAUACGAGCACAGGGGUUAGAGAUCUGUGAGGAAAGGAGCUAAGGCUCCGCUGAAGGAAUGGCCUGUGGCCCAUUAGCUAGUUGGUGAGGUAAGAGCCCACCAAGGCGAUGAUGGGUAUCCGGCCUUAGAGGGUGAACGGACACAUUGGGACUGAGAUACGGCCCAGACUCCUACGGGAGGCAGCAGCUAAGAAUAUUCCGCAAUGGACGAAAGUCUGACGGAGCGACGCCGCGUGGAUGAAGAAGGCCGGAAGGUUGUAAAAUCCUUUUGAAACUGAAGAAUAAGCGUUGUAGGGAAUGACAGCGUGGUGACAGUAGGUUUUGAAUAAGCAACGGCUAAUUACGUGCCAGCAGCGGC